ACAGGAAGGUGGAGCCAGAUACAGAAUUGUAAUACUGUAACGGUCCCACUUUUUUGUUG
rnacentral:precursor_RNA from 1 species